rnacentral:rRNA from 1 species
UACGGGGGGGGCAAGCGUUGUUCGGAAUUACUGGGCGUAAAGGGCUUGUAGGCGGCCAACUAAGUCCGACGUGAAAUCCCCAGGCUUAACCUGGGAACUGCGUCGGAUACUGGAUGGCUUGAAUUCGGGAGAGGGAUGCGGAAUUCCAGGUGUAGCGGUGAAAUGCGUAGAUAUCUGGAGGAAUACCGGUGGCGAAGGCGGCAUCCUGGACCGACAUUGACGCUGAGGAGCGAAAGCUAGGGGAGCAAACGGG